ensembl:lncRNA
CAGACACACACACAGAGACUGUUUGUCUCUCUGUCCCCCAGUGAAUGCCUUUACUGUCCCGAUGACAGAAUGAAAUUACUGAAGUUCAUGCAUUGGAGUUUGUCCGCGGGCUAAAUCGAAUUACCGGCCUCCCUUGGAGAGGGAUGUUUGUUUCAUAAAGCUCCUGCAGUCCUGAAUUUUUUUUUUAUUGUAACACUAAUUGCCCGAGCUCUUCUGUCAAUACCAAUGCCGUCUGGAGAAGACUGAAAGACGGCAAUAAACGUUGGGACCCAGUGCGCCGUAGCCAGAGGCGGAGAGAGUGAGCUGCAGGCGGAAAAAGAAAAUGGAUCCAGAGGAGGCAACUUGUGCAAAGUUGCCGCGCAUCACUGUUUUGAAUUGUGACUUGAAGACUGUAAACGGUCCAGAGAGUCUGUGCACACUUUGUUUUACAUGAGCUACUCGUUGUUUACAGGUUAAUACGUUUAGACGAGUUUAUCAACCGUGGGAAACAACGGCAGGGUAUUCUGUUGAAUGCAGGCGUGAAGUGAAGUCAAAGCUGCAUUCUCUCUGGUGACCACCAGAGGGCGACUCCUUGUUCCUGUAGAAGUCUAUGAGAAGAUGACUUCUUCUCUUUUGAUUUAUUCCCUUAGUAGACAUCGUAAACAGUUCACGGCCUCAAUUAAUGGUUUAAAUUCUUAUUUGAUUCUCCUCUUUUGACUAAAAACAGAAACCCUAUUUUCCAAGAGGCCGAGAACUAAAUCGCCAAACUCAAGACAUCACAGAGACGUCCUGUCUGAUGAGGACUCAUGGAGCCACUGAAACAGCCGCUGUCGACUCUCCUGCAUGACUCACUUAUCGGCACUGCAGCAAAGGCUGACGUCCACCACACACACACACACACACACACACACACACACACACACACUCUAUACAUACCAAGUACGACCACGGGCUUCGCCGCUGCUGCUUCCUUAGAGUUUGAGCAGCCCGUUCAAGGGCACUUUGAUGGCGGCCAUUAAGGGAGAGACGCAGCGUCUCUUUCGGUUCCCGUAAUCAGAUUCUCCUUUUUGGAGUAGAAAGAGCCCCGAACAGUAAUGAAACACACACAGACACACACACACACACAACACAACGGGGAUAUUGGAAUACUGGGGCCUCACUAAUGUCCCGCAUUAGGACGGCGUAGCUGCAGGGGAAGACAUUAUUCAGCAAAACAGAGGCAGGACACACACACACUCUCAUUUCGCUCUCCUCUCUGUUCAGACCCGGUAUAUUUUAUUUCAUGGAUCCUCAUCCAACGUUGAUUCAGUCGGAUCCAUCUGUGAGAGACAAUAAGCAGGCUCGGUAAACACAGAAAGAAAGACACACAAAAACAUCCACACACGAAUGCAGGACGUCGGCGGGAGUCUCCCAAUCGAUGAUCUUCACGCAACAGAAAGCACAUCAACGCACGCGUCGCUUCCCGUGAACACACACUGCGUAAAGACGGCGUCUCCUGGGACCGAGGUGGAUCCUCUGCCCUCGUCGUCUCAGUCCACUGUGACACCGGUGCUUUCGUGAGGCUUAAGAGUUCAUCGAUCCCGAGAUGAUAUCUACCUUGAAACAAAUACUGUCCGUGCGAGCGGACGGGAUGUUUGGGUUCGUUGCCUCGGCCCGUUUUCAGCAGCGUGAAGCGAUGCUGCACCAGGCUGAUUCUCCUCUCCUGAACCCUUUCACCUCCCCCCUCCCCCCCCAAACGUCUCAGGGGCGUCCCGUAUUCCCUGACAGGACGCUGCUGUCUUUUAGCCACUGCACAUCCCAGGAGGAGAUGAGCCGCUUCUUUCUGCUGUAAUGGAAGAUUCCAGGCGCCUCGUCUCUCUCUCCGGCCUUAUUUCUCCUCCAGACUCCACCUUCCUGUCCGGGGAGCAGCUUCUUGGCGGCGGAGCAAAGGAACGUCAAGGUGGGCCGGUCGGAGCCGAGGGGGGCCCGAGCCCGGCCUCCAGAGAGAGCGCGAGGAAGGGGGGGAAGAACGUAGUCCCAUGACGGCGGGCAGGACGGUCGGACCAGCAUGCAUCUGGAAGCACGUGGUUGGUUAAGAAGAAGAUCAAACCCGUUAGCAUGACUCCACGGAGCGUGAUCGUUGCAGCGGAGUGAGAGGAAAAGCAGGAAGCGCACACGCUAAACAUUUAACCAGAGCACACGGAUAAACGUUCAUUUUCCUUCCCGUUUGUGAGGGCUCAGAUGUUGUUGUUUUGUUCCGUUUUCCUCCCACUUAACCUCGCAGCUUAAAGCGGCGUGCACAAACAAAAACAAAGGAAACUUUCUUUCUCUCCUCCUCCUCAAACAGCUCCUUUCCUUGAGGCCAACAUUGCACAGUCAACACAUUACCCCCUCCACCAACGCGCACACACACACACACACACACACACUCUCACGCCACAGGACAGGCAGCCCAUUCUCUUUUAGUGCUGUCACUCCACAUUAAGGAUGCUCACCCUCAAAUGACCGGCUGCAGGCUGCAGCAGCAACCUUGUUUUUACAUAAGCACCUCCGACACACUCGCACUGCAGCCGGCAGCGCGUCCCCCCCCCCCCCCCCCACUCGACUGAGGACGGAGGACGCUCGUUGACAAGCCGUCCGUUGCACAGGCUGGACUUCCAACCUUAGCCAACAGAAAAAAACGACACAAAAGUCCUGAUUUUCGAAAUGCUUUAUGAUUUGUCUUCAUGUUUAAAAAGAUGUUCCCAAUUACCUAAAGACUUUUUCGCAAGAACGUCUUAAUGUUCAAGAAACAUCACAUUUCAAACUGGCCUCAUUAACCAAAAAACAUUGUUGACCUAUAUAUUUUGAAAUACUUCCCAGAUUUCCCGAAAUGGAAAUUUUCCGAGAGGAGCUUAAAAUUCAAAUCCGUCCUCACAAAGGUAGCAGACAG